rnacentral:rRNA from 1 species
GACGUAGGGCGCGAGCGUUGUCCGGAUUUAUUGGGCGUAAAGAGCUCGUAGGCGGCUUGUCGCGUCGACUGUGAAAACCCGCGGCUCAACUGCGGGCUUGCAGUCGAUACGGGCAGGCUAGAGUUCGGUAGGGGAGACUGGAAUUCCUGGUGUAGCGGUGAAAUGCGCAGAUAUCAGGAGGAACACCGGUGGCGAAGGGCGGGGU